rnacentral:rRNA from 1 species
UGAGGAAUAUUGGUCAAUGGGCGGAAGCCUGAACCAGCCAAGUCGCGUGAGGGAAGACGGUCCUAUGGAUUGUAAACCUCUUUUGCCGGGGAGCAAAGCCGGGCUCGUGAGCCCCGGAAGGAGAGUACCCGGAGAAAAAGCAUCGGCUAACUCCGUGCCAGCAGCCGCGGUAAUACGGAGGAUGCGAGCGUUAUCCGGAUUUAUUGGGUUUAAAGGGUGCGUAGGCGGGAUCUUAAGUCAGCGGUAAAAAUGCGGGGCUCAACCCCGUAGUGCCGUUGAAACUGAGGUUCUUGAGUGGGCGAGAAGUAUGCGGAAUGCGUGGUGUAGCGGUGAAAUGCAUAGAUAUCACGCAGAACUCCGAUUGCGAAGGCAGCAUACCGGCGCCCAACUGACGCUGAGGCACGAAAGCGUGGGGAUCGAACAGGAUUAGAUACC